rnacentral:rRNA from 1 species
UACCCGCUGAACUUAAGCAUAUCAAUAAGCGGAGGAAAAGAAACUAACAAGGAUUCCCCUAGUAACUGCGAGUGAAGCGGGAUGAGCUCAAAUUUGAAAUCUGGCGGUUCCACCGUCCGAGUUGUAAUCUGGAGAAGCGUCUUCCGUGCCGGACCGUGUACAAGUCCCUUGGAAUAGGGCGUCAUAGAGGGUGAGAAUCCCGUCUUUGACACGGACCCCGGUGCUCUGCGAUGCGCUCUCGAAGAGUCGAGUUGUUUGGGAAUGCAGCUCAAAAUGGGUGGUAAAUUCCAUCUAAAGCUAAAUAUUGGCGAGAGACCGAUAGCGAACAAGUACCGUGAGGGAAAGAUGAAAAGCACUUUGGAAAGAGAGUAAAACAGUACGUGAAAUUGUUGAAAGGGAAACGCUUGAAGUCAGUCGCGCCUUCUGGAACUCAGCCUUGCUUCUGCUUGGUGCACUUUCCAGUUUGGCGGGCCAGCAUCUGUUUUGGCGGGUAGACAAAGGUCUGGGGAAUGUGGCAGCUCCGGCUGUGUUAUAGCCCCUCUCCGUACGUGCCCGCCGGGACGGAGGAAUCCGGCGCUUGCGCAUGGGAUGCUGGCGUAAUGGCCUUAAGCGACCCGUCUUGAAACACGGACCAAGGAGUGCUACAUGCUCGCGAGUGUUUGGGUGGAAAACCCGGACGCGUAAUGAAAGUGAAACUCGAGACCCCUCGCGGGGGCACCGAGGCCCGAGCCUGAAGUUUACGGAAGGCCUUGCGGUAGAGCGAGUAUGUUGCGACCCGAAAGAUGGUGAACUAUUCCUGAGGAGGGCGAAGCCAGAGGAAACUCUGGUGGAGGCUCGUAGCGGUUCUGACGUGCAAAUCGAUCGCAGGACUUGGGUAUAGGGGCGAAAGACUAAUCGAACCAUCUAGUAGCUGGUUCCUGCCGAAGUUUCCCUCAGGAA